CAUAGCGACUAUCGUGGCAUAUCAAUAAGCGGAGGAAAAGAAACUAACAAGGAUUCCCUUAGUAACGGCGAGUGAAGCGGGAAGAGCUCAAAUUUGAAAUCUUCAAGGUUUUACCUUGACGAAUUGUAGUUUAAAGAAGUGUUUUCUGUUAGUGGAGUGGCAAAAGUUCUUUGGAAUAGGACAUCAUAGAGGGUGAGAAUCCCGUAUUUGGUCAUUCCUCCUAGCGUUGUGAUACACUCUCAACGAGUCGGAUUGUUUGGGAAUGCAGUCCAAAAUGGGUGGUAAAUUUCAUCUAAAGCUAAAUAUUGGCGAGAGACCGAUAGCGAACAAGUACCGUGAGGGAAAGAUGAAAAGAACUUUGAAAAGAGAGUUAAACAGUACGUGAAAUUGUCAAAAGGGAAGCGUUUGACACCAGUGUUGUUUUUCCGAAAAUCAAUUACGAAUGUUUUGUUUUUGAGGAGUUAUGACUUCAUCGGCUUGCUCCUCUCUUUAUGAAACUUUCUUAAUGCACUUUUCGGUUAACAAGUCAACAUCAAUUUCUUUUGUUGUAAAAGGGUAUGAGGAAGGUGGCUUACGCUUCGGCGUAAGUGUUUAUAGCCUUUUACCUCUGCAAUCGGAGAGAUUGAGGUCUGCAGCGUAGAUCCUUCGGGGUUAGAUACAUUUGUGCUAAGUUAUAGCCUUUCAUAGACAACUUGUUGACUAUGAUCAGUCAUGUAGCUUACUCGCUUAUGCUAUUUUACCUACGCUUAGGAUGUUGACGAGACUGUCGAUCUC
rnacentral:rRNA from 1 species